rnacentral:rRNA from 1 species
UACGUAGGUGGCGAGCGUUGUCCGGAUUCAUUGGGCGUAAAGCGCGCGCAGGUGGUGCGGUAAGUCUGUCGUGAAAUCUCCCGGCUCAACUGGGAGGGUGCGGUGGAGACUGCCGGACUGGAGGCACUCAGAGGCCGGUGGAAUUCCCGGUGUAGUGGUGAAAUGCGUAGAGAUCGGGAGGAACACCAGUGGCGAAGGCGGCCGGCUGGGGGUGACCUGACGCUGAGACACGAAGGCCAGGGGAGCAAACGGG